UCCAACCUCCAACACAGUAGAGGGCAGCAGAGAACUAAUCGAACGCGUGGCGUAGAAACUACAGUCUAUGCAAUAUUCGAAGGUUUCUGCUAGUGUGUUGUCGGCCACCAGCAAGACUAUCGUAGUUGUUUGACUGACCGGGAGAUUCGGAGUUUAAAACAAUCUGAAAUAGUUAACUACAACUAUAUAUUUUGUUAUUUCUGAGCACAGUCCCUCGUCUAAUUUUGGACGAUAGUGCACAGCUAACGAGCUAUCUUAACAAACCGAGUUGCGACCAAUAUGGUGUCUUUGAAAAGAGAGAGAGAAAUCGAGUUGGACGACGACGAUGAGGUGCCAGUGAAAACUGGUCGCUCGCACGAUACAGAAGAUCGCAGAAGCCGCCACUGUCCUUAUCUGGACACAAUUAACAGGAGUGUGCUGGAUUUUGAUUUUGAGAAGCUGUGUUCCAUCUCCCUCUCGCACAUCAAUGUCUACGCUUGCCUCAUCUGUGGGAAAUACUUCCAAGGUAGAGGACUCAAAUCCCACGCGUAUACCCACAGCGUGCAGUUCACCCAUCACGUGUUCCUCAACCUGCACACACUGAAGUUCUACUGCUUGCCCGACAACUAUGAGAUCAUAGACUCUUCCCUGGAGGACAUAACGUACGUCCUGAAGCCCACCUUCGCCCGGCAGCACAUCGCUAACCUGGACAAGCAGGGCAAGCUCUACCGCGCCUACGACGGCACCACCUACCUGCCCGGCAUCGUGGGCCUCAACAACAUCAAGGCCAACGACUACGCCAACGUCGUGCUGCAGGCCCUGUCCAACGUGCCUCCGCUGCGGAACUACUUCCUGGAGGAGGAGAACUACCGCGGCAUCCGGCGCCCGCCGGGCGACAUCAUGUUCCUGCUGGUGCAGCGUUUCGGGGAGCUGAUGCGGAAGCUGUGGAACCCCCGGAACUUCAAGGCCCACGUGUCGCCCCACGAGAUGCUGCAGGCCGUGGUGCUGUGCAGCAAGAAGAACUUCCAGAUCACCAAGCAGGGGGAUGCUGUUGACUUUCUUUCCUGGUUUCUCAACGCUCUGCACGGUGCUCUGGGCGGCACCAAGAAGAAGCCAUAGUGCAUCACCAAGGUGUUCCAGGGUUCCAAGAAGCUGCCCCACCCAGAUUUGCCGCCGGAGGAGAAGGAGGCGCUGCUCCUGAAGGAGGAGUACCAGGAGGAGAUGUCCGAGUCCACCUUCCUGUACCUGACCCUUGACCUCCCCACCGCCCCGCUGUACAAGGACGAGAAGGAGCAGCUGAUCAUCCCCCAGGUUCCGCUCUUCAACAUCCUGGGAAAGUUCAACGGCAUCACGGAGAAGGUGACGCCCGCUUCUCGUCAC